GUUCCUCUAAUUACAGGUACAUCCCAUAACAAUGAUUUAAAAGGCUGAAUGGAACAGACCUUCUGGACUAGAGAAGACUUAAGCAGUUGCUUUGAACUCGCCAUAACUAUGAAGCCUUGGUUUGUCCUCCUUUUCUUCACCUUUCUGUUUCUUUCUGAUCUGGGGGAAGCAGACAUGAUAAAGGAAUCGAGAUCAUGCAUUAAAGCUAAAGGAACUUGCAGAAAAGGAUCAUGUAAAUCCUCUGAAAAGAAGAUAGGCCUUUGUCACGUCAAUCAGCCUUGCUGCAAAUCCUAAGAGAAAGUCUUCUGAUCAACACAUGGAAAACCCAUUAAUCUUCUACCUGAAUGCCUGAUGGAAUCUGGAUUAUAGAAGCUUUAAAAAAAACAUGAGAAAAAUCCUUGCUGCUUUGAAUUUUUCAAACAAUUAUUCUUAUUAAAAUUAUCUAGCUUUACAAAUGACUAUG